UUACAGCCAUAUCAUAUUGAAAUACCGGUUCUCGUAUGAUCACUGAAGUUAAGCAACGUCGAGCCUGAUCAGUAACUAGGUGGGUGACCGCCUGGAAUACCAGGUGCUGUAA